AGCUGGCAAGAUGCAGAGCCCCUUCCGGCUGCCCCAGCCUCCGAGAGCCUCCCCAGAGCUGACCCCGAGCGCCGGGACACAGGAUGGCGUGGCCUCACUGGGCACCUCCAGUGGCCCCAGCAAGCAGUUCGGGAGCUCAGGAAGCGCAGACCCUAAAAUAACCGAUUCAGAGAUUUCUUUAUUUAUUUAAGAGAGAGAGA
rnacentral:lncRNA from 1 species